GAAUUUUUCGAAGAUUGGAGAAAUUGGCGGUUGAUAGAAUAGAUCCGACCAUUUGAUUUCUUGGUUAUCCAAAACUCAAACUUAAUAUCCGAAACAUGCUAUUAAAUUUGCUAGAGAAGUCUAAACAAAGUAAAGGCAGUGUUUACACUUUUUUUCAGUUUCCAAGGAAGCUUGGCGACGUCAAAAGGAUGUUUGGCUUCGUCCUUCAAGUCUCCGACUCUGCUACCUUCGUGGAGAAGUCCUUCAAGGUCUGGCAAGAGAGGAUGAACUCGACAAGGGAGGAAAAGAAGGUCUGCUGCUGCUCUCGUAUCUCUCUGGUUUUUACGUGAAUAAAUGAUGAAAAUUGUGAAGCAGACAACCUCUAUUUAUAGUGAACACGCCAAACCCUAGUUGUGCUCCUAGCCCUUCAUUGAUUUGUGAUCCAACGGAGCAGAAUUAUACUUUAAAUCCUGAUUUAGACCUUCCUAGAAUUCUCUGGAAUGUCUUGUGCAGAAAUCUAUUGCAUAAGGCUUGAAUAUGGACCAGGUACACUCCUUGUUCUCCAAAGAAAAUCACAGCAGUGAAAACUUUCCUUCUUUUGCCUUCAAUUAAACCUUUGACGAAAUUCCCUUCCUUUAUUUGUGCGCAAUUAGAGUUCCUACAAGGGAAAUAAAAUCAGAUAGAUAUGGUAGGAAUAACAUAAUUCAAAUGACGAAUUUAAAGGAAAGAAUCUCCCUUAAUUCUCUGAUUAGCACAUAUAAAAUCCUUGAUUGCUGCAGAAUUCGUCCUCCCCUUUUUAUAGACAUUCACAGAUUCCUAUUCCAAGUUGGAUUAGGUUUUCUGAUUGCAAAUGGUUUCCCUGUCUCAUUAGAAAAGAAAGUUUCCUAAUUAUUUUAGGAAAGUCAGAAUAGGAAAAAUUCAAAAGUAGUAAGUUUCCUAAAUCAAAAUAAGAAAAUUUUUCUUAAAAUGAAAUAGGCAAGUUUCCCUUUCAAAACAGGAAAGUUUUCUAAAUGACUCCUUGCUGCACCAGGAAUCCUCCUUUGAUUAUGAUUUCCCUCAAUUCUUGCUCUUUAGCCUUAUUUUGUGUAAAACUGCCUCUUUUAACCUACAACACAGAAACAAGCUAGAAAUGAUAUUAUUAAGGAAAUAACGAAGCUAAAUAGGGUAGGAAAUACAUUAAGAAUAUAGCAUAAAAUGCGUGUAUCAAGCCCUUUAGUUUUAAAUGCCCAGUUUGCAGGCUAAGUUUAAAUGAGAUCGAGCGUACAUGGAGUCGAUGCAUAGUCAGAGGCUGCUUCCGCUUAUUCUUUAUUAUUUGUUUUUCAUUUAUUAUAGAUAUGCUCUGAUAACCAUUUGAUAUUGUUAUUAGUUGAUUAAGGCUUGAUGGGAGAUGUGAUGAACUUGGGGAGGAGGAAAGCUCCAGGAGUUGUGGGUGGAUGAUUUAUAAUAGAAGUGUUUAUCUGGAAUUUUUCAGGUAAGGGUUGUCUAUUUUCAAGGUAGAUUAUGCCUAAUUUUAGAUAAAUUUUUCUUGAAGGUGGAUCCCGCAGGAAUUACUUCGGGUUUCAAGGUGAAAUUCGGGGUGGGUCCUGACAUAGGCUACUCAUUUAUAUAAACUACCUCCUACUCAAACUCACAUUUCCUUUUUGCUACACUAGUAGAAAAAAAGGCUUAAGCGAUGGUACAUUCAUAUUUCGUAGCUUAAGCAGAUCCUAAGCGACGAAAAUAAAUAUCGUCGCUGGAAAUACAUAUUUCGUCGCUACAAUUUUCUGGGGUGACGAAAUUUUUUUAUCGCCUUAGUUUUGUCGCCACAUGUCCCACUAUGGCGACAAUAAGGUUUUUGUCGCAACUGGUUCAUGUAGCGACGAAAAUUUUAACACUUAAGCGACGAACUUUUUUGUCGCAUUAUAUUCUUCUCCUAACCGACAAAUAAACGUAUCGUUGUCUAAGUUUUAAACUAUAGCGGUGGAAUAUUUGACAAUAGAGCGACAAAACUGUUUGUCGCAUUAUAUCCUUCACUUAACCGACGAAUUAAUUGCCUGUCGUCUUAGAUGAAGACUAAAGUGACGAAACUUUGACUUUAAAGUGACCAAACUGGUUGUCGCAUGAUGUCUUUCACCUAACCGACGAAUUUACUGUUCGUUGUCUUAGAUUAUGACUAAAGCGAGGAAAUAUUUGACUUUAGAGCCACGAAAAUGUUUGUCGUAUUAUAUUCUUCACCUAAGCGAGGGCAUUUUUGACUUUAGCGACGAAAUAUUUUGUCACUUAAGUGAAUUCUUCUUUAGGUUAUGAGAAUCAACCCUUUUUUAUCUUGAUGAUCCAAAGGAGGGUGGGGGUUGGAAAGUUGUUAACAUGAUGUCACAUAGAGGUAUAUUUAUACUGCAACUACACUUGAGAUGAGUAUUGCAAAUAGAUAUUGAUAAUGUGACUCUUGAACCAUAUCAAGAAGCCUCGACGUCUAAUAUCCCCGACAUGGAGACUAUUCGCAUCAACAACGACAAUCACCUCCAACCCCACGAGUACGUUCCCAUUUUUAAUUUAGAGUUUGACUUCAGUUCAUUUCCAUUCAUCCCAUGCUCCUUGCACAUCUUUGGUAAUAAAAUUUGUUCUUUAAAAUCAUAGUCUGCCAAUCGUUGGUAAAAGAAAAUGGAACUCAAAAGAGUAAUUCAUUAAGUUUGGAAGCAACUUCAGUGAGUUAAAAAUAACCAGCAACUAAGAUCUUUGGGGGAAGAGAGAGAGAGAGAGAGAGAGAGAGAGAGAGAGAGAGAUCAAAAUCUGAAAAUUUCAACAAGUACUGAAGACACUACCUUAGACAAGUUUGAUCUAAAUUUCAGUUCCCUUGUGUCCUUGUUCCUACUAUAAGCAUAUGAACCAUAGUCAGUCCUAACAUGAUUUUCUUUACAACUAAGUCACAGCAGUAGCUAGGCUUCUAUGUAUGGGCUUAUUCCAGAGAGAACACAAAUCAGAAGUAUUGAUAAUAACAUGUAAAAUUUCAAGACAUGUCAAAGAUCAAUGACAGAAAUAAGAGUGUAAAGAAUCCCAAAUCCAUUGUUUUAUAAUAAUGAGCUGCAAAUCAGAAUAAAAACACAAUAUGAGAAAUUUUCCGGAAAUAGGUAGUAAGAAAGAAAAAUUCACCAACAAUUGACCUUUCAAUAUUUUCAUGUGAAAAUUCCCAGAAUCAAAAUAGACAAGCAAACCUACAAUGUCCCAAAAUUUCAAGUCGUUUGGAGUUUAAAUGCAUAGAGAUCCAAAGUGACUGAAAAUGCAGUUUCUGCAGAAAAUUCUGAAACACUGUGUAAGCUUCAAAAUAGCACAAGUUUCUCAUAUCAACUCCGUUUUGCUUGAAACCAAGUUUAAAACGAUCAUUGAAGAGUCUACUUUUAACUGUUAAAAACUGAGAUUGAAAGAAGAAGUUUAAGUUUUUUGAAAAUCUUGGAAAAGCCCACUGGUUCAGCUUGGUGGUGUCUUUGAGACAUACUAUCAAACAUGUGGUGUGCACUAUGUGAUCCUUGCUCUAUUUCUGUUCUAAGCAUUUUAAAGAACCUACCAAUACUAGCUAAUAGUCAAAAGUGCAUCCCAACAACAAUCUUGAACACAUAUACAUAUAAAUCUUAUUAGAGGAAGAAACGUAUUACCGAAAGAAAGUAAGUUCCAAUGCUGUUACAAAAUAGGAGGGAAGCUCACUGAUUCGUAGGCCCAAAAUCCUCUGAGUGAUCUAUCAAAGUAGAACUCAUGGAUUUAAAACAGGUUUAUAGAACAUGUAAGACAAGAAGAGACAUGGAGCUGAGCAAAUCAGAAUAAAAACACAUUUGGUUCCACAAUGAUAUAACACUAUUUUACAAACAACUAGUUAAAGUCACCAUCACAUACGCAGAUAUACAAAAAUCCAAUUCAAUCUCAGAAAAUUGAUUAUUAAAUUCCUAUAAGAUUUGAGUAUGACUCAGUGAUAUUUUUGUGCAGCAACCCCUUCUAUAUAUUUUCACAUAUAUUCCAGAUAAGAACGUACAUAUAACAAUAAGAGAUGACAAGUAAAUAUAUAGUUGAUGGAUAUCCAGACUACUUGUAAGAGAGAAAUUAUAUUCCUAUCGUGAUACUGGGAACUAAUACAUGAAUUUACAAAGCACAAAGGUAUUAAUAAGAACGAGUGUAUAAGCACUGGAACAAACCAAUAUUAGAUAUCGCAAUGAAAUAACAAUAAGUGGCAGUAGUAGCUAUGAACUCUUAAUUUUCAGAUUUUCACACAGAAAAUUGAUACAACUCCAUGAUCUCAAAACUCACCCAUUUUAGAUAAAACUUGAUUCUAUUGAAGGAGAAUAAAACCCUCUAUAGUAUAAUGUGAGCUUUAUACCCAGUUGAGGAGUUCAAGAACCAAAAACAAGUCCUUGAAUCCAACUUGUUUAAUACUGAAAUAGAAACAGCAAAAUGCCCAACUUCACAGCUCAAUAACUACCUUAAUACUCAGUCAAAUUAAGCAAAUAAUAUGUCGAUUAAUAAGUACUCGAAGUACCCAUCGAGUCUGAGCAAUCAACUACCAUCGAGUCUGAGCAAUCAACUAUGGGUUUAAGAACCAGUAAGGCAAUGCAAUUCUACUAAUAACAAAAAUUUCGACCCCAGCACUAAAGAAGCCAAUUCUAAUGAUACUAGAAUGAAUAGCUCAACAGCAAAACAAACGCUCAACAGGUGAAUUGACACAGUGAACAAAGAAUAUCAAAAUGAGUAUCAAGCAUAACACCAGAUAAUGAAAUUUUCAAAAGUUCUACUCACCUCAAACACCUUCUCCCAAGGCAAGCCUUCGACUUCUCUCCCUCUCUUCCAAAUCGCCAGAGCUCCAAUUGCUCCAUCCUCCUAAAAGCUAAUUCUUCAUUACUUUACCUCAUGUUCAAUUGUCCUCCACCUUCAAAACCUCCCACACAUCCCCACAAUUAGAACCCCCAAAAUUGCAAAUUUCCAAAAGAAAUAUAGGCUUUAGAGAUUGAAGAGUAAGGGAUUACAUUAUCGACCUCCAUGGAAACCAUACUCGAGCGGUGAAUGCAGGCACGAGAGAGAGAGGCUCUAAGAGUUCACAGAAUUGGAACUGAAGGCGGGCUCAGAAACCAAACUAAUGCAAAACACAGAAGAAUAUGAGAGUGGUCAGAAAUCGUACCAGAGGCGGCGAUGCUCAGACAGACAGUGGUAACACUACUAGAGAUGUAUCCUUUAAUGACACUUAUUUUAUGACGUUUCGGGAUAAAUGUCAUUAUAAGGGGUUUCCAUGACGUUUAAGGCAGCAAACGUCAUGGAUGUAAAACACGGAGCAAUUAUAUGACAUUUUAUAAACGUCAUGGUAAAACACUUACCAUGACGUUUAUUUUUCGUCAUCAAUAGGUUUCAAUGAUGGUUUCGGUCUGUCAUGCAUACUGUUUGGGCCAUGACAGUUUAUUACUGUCAUCAAAAGUUUUGGGAAAAAUUUUGACACUGUGCCCAAAAUUUGGCUUCGCGCCUGACCCAAAAUUUGGCCCUAAAAUUUUGAGUUACAGUUUGAGUUCGUUCAUUUUAGUUUUAACUCACUUGCCUAAAAUUUAUCUCACCCAAACUCGAUCUCAAACUUCACUUUCCAAUUUCUCUCUUGCAAAUCAGUCACCCAAACUCAAUCUCACACUCAAUCCGAAUCUCAUCCCAAACUCGAUCUCUCACCCAAAUCAGUCACCCCUCUCCCAAAUCACAUCCCCAAAUCUAACACCCCUCUCCCAAAAUCUCAUCCCCAAAUCUCAUCCAAAUCUGUCACACUGCUCUUCGCCCUAAUCCCAAUUGUUUGAGAGUAGAAAUAGCUUCUGGACAAGAAGAGAAACCCAAAGAACAAAAGAUAGAGAGAGGAAAAAC
rnacentral:lncRNA from 1 species